rnacentral:lncRNA from 1 species
CGGCGGUCUGGCUGUCAAUCAUCCACAGGCUCUCCCAGAGCUUGCUAAGGUGCCUGGCAACACCUGCCGAAGUCGACAACUCACAGAGACCCAUCAUUCCACCGGCAGGACAGAAGGACAAACUAUGUUCUCAGCAGUGCUCACACUGCUUUGGGACCAAGAUGCCAUUAAGCUUUAUGCCUCUGACACGCACGGGCAGAUGUGGGAGACACCGGGCACCACGUAGGGGGAGGCUGAUGGCAGGGCACGGAGUAGGGUGUGCUUCGGAGCCACAGUGCUGGUGCCGGGCCCCUGCAGGGGUCCUGCACCGUGGGUGUUGAAGCACUGUUUUCUGGGCGCAGAGUGUCAGGCCGGCCUAGGAAGUGCUGUGAGCCAGGACUUAACUACAGAAAGCUCUGUGGUCUGCGCUGAACACCCUACACAGUCAUUCCUGCUACCUGGAGGGGGUUAGUCCCAGGAACCCUGCAGACGCCAGCAUCCAAGGAUGCUCCCGUCCUUCAUUUAUUAUUAUUAUUUUAUUAGGGACAGGGUCAUGCUGUGCAGUCCAUGGCAAACUCGGCAGUCUUCCUGCCUCAGCCUCCCCAGUGCCGGGAUAGCAGGUGAGCAACAGACACUACGCCUACCUGGAGCGCACAAGUGAUUGCAUAGAACGAUGCUCGUCCCCUGUACCUUAAGUCUCCUCACUGCGGGGCUUGGCUAACGUGACAUGGCUCAGGCUGUUACUGGGGUUCGGGUGCCAGAGUCUCCUUCUGGAGCUCGUUUCUGGAUUCUUCUUGACCUGAACAAAGAAUUGGACGACACAAGUGUGAGAGGCAGCAGGCUGUUACACGUGUCCAAGGCGGCUCUGCAGAGCGCGUGCUGGCCAGUGGCAGGAGACUCGGCUCUGUCACAUCAAGCACUGCUCUGGUGCUGCACCUGUUCACCUGAGCUGAAAUACAGUUGGAAAUCUUGGACACCAGGUGUGUGGGGACACCUGUGACCUCGGCAUCGGGAAGCUGAGUCAGGAGGAUUGCCACAAGUUUCAGGCCAGUCUGAACCACACAGUGGGCCCUCAUCUCACACUGCCCCCAGACACACAGAACUGGGCACCUUGUAUUCUUUCUGGAACCGUAUGGCCCAGGGAAGCGGUUACACUGUGAAGUGGUCAAAACACUGGGAGGGUGUGUUACACGUGCCCUCAUAGAGCCUGAUUCCUUUAUCAGAAGCACUGGGCCAAAUGCUGGUAGCUGUUAUCCAGCAAUUCUUUUCCUCUUUCUAUUAGUAGUAGAAGUUCCACAUUCACUCUGACAGUAAGGAGGAGAGAGGAGAAGAGAGUGAAGGAGAGAGGGAGAGAGAGGGCUCAGCAUCCCUUGCAGCUAGAAACCACCAGGUGCGUAUAAGUGAUAGCAGCCUGGAUACCUUCAGGUUCAUGUCCUUAAAGGGACAUAUGCCCCUUUGCCCACUCACUGGAACAAAGAUGAGGUGGUUGGAUCUGCGCAGCCACCUUGGGACAAAAGACAAAGGC